rnacentral:misc_RNA from 1 species
AAGUCGUAACAAGGUCUCCGUUGGUGAACCAGCGGAGGGAUCAUUACAGAGUUUAACCACUCAAAACCAUUGUGAACCUUACCUCAACCGUUGCUUCGGCGGGCGGGCCCCAAAAGCCCCCCCGGCCCCUCGCGGGCGCCCGCCGGAGGUAAAUCGAACCCUUGAAUUGUAUGGCCUCUCUGAGUCUUCUGUACUGAAUAAGUCAAAACUUUCAACAACGGAUCUCUUGGUUCUG